rnacentral:rRNA from 1 species
GACGAACGCUGGCGGCGUGCCUAAUACAUGCAAGUUGAGCGCUGAAGGUUGGUACUUGUACCAACUGGAUGAGCAGCGAACGGGUGAGUAACGCGUGGGGAAUCUGCCUUUGAGCGGGGGACAACAUUUGGAAACGAAUGCUAAUACCGCAUAAAAACUUUAAACACAAGUUUUAAGUUUGAAAGAUGCAAUUGCAUCACUCAAAGAUGAUCCCGCGUUGUAUUAGCUAGUUGGUGAGGUAAAGGCUCACCAAGGCGAUGAUACAUAGCCGACCUGAGAGGGUGAUCGGCCACAUUGGGACUGAGACACGGCCCAAACUCCUACGGGAGGCAGCAGGAGGGGAUCUUCGGCAAUGGACGAAAGUCUGACCGAGCAACGCCGCGGGAGGGAAGAAGGGUGUCGGAUCGGAAAACUCUGUUGGUAGAGAAGAACGUUGGUGAGAGUGGAAAGCUCAUCAAGUGACGGUAACUACCCAGAAAGGGACGGCUAACUACGUG